GGCCCAAUGGUCUAGUCGUAUGAUUCCUGCUUCGGGUGCAGGAGGUCCCGGGUUCAAUUCCCGGUUGGGCCC